rnacentral:rRNA from 1 species
AUUGAACGCUGGCGGCAGGCCUAACACAUGCAAGUCGAGCGGAGCGGCGGACGGGUGCGUAAUGCCUAUGAAUCUGCCUGUGAGCGGGGGAUAACGUCCGGUAACGGGCGCUAAUACCGCAUCCUCUCAGAUGAGCAUAGGUCGGAUUAGCUAGUUGGUGGGGUAAAGGCCUACCAAGGCGACGAUCCGUAACUGGUCUGAGAGGAUGAUCAGUCACACUGGAACUGAGACACGGUCCAGACUCCUACGGGAGGCAGCAGUGGGGAAUAUUGGACAAUGGGCGAAAGCCUGAUGCAGCCAUGCCGCGUGUGUGAAGAAGGUCUUCGGAUUGUAAAGCACUUUAAGUUGGGAGGCGUUACCAACAGAAGAAGCACCGGCUAACUUCGUGCCAGCAGCCGCGGUAAUAC